GGCGGCGUGCCUAACACAUGCAAGUCGAACGAGAAAGUUGGCUUCGGCCGAUGAGUAAAGUGGCGCACGGGUGAGUAACGCGUGGAUAAUCUGCCCUUUAGUUUGGAAUAACGUAACCGAAAGGUGCGCUAAUACCGGAUAAUACUGAAUGACUACUGUCGUUUAGUCAAAGAAGGCUUCUGUUUACAUGUCUUUUGCUGAAGGAUGAGUCCGCGUACCAUUAGCUAGUUGGUAGGGUAAUGGCCUACCAAGGCGACGAUGGUUAGCUGGUCUGAGAGGAUGAUCAGCCACACUGGAACUGAGACACGGUCCAGACUCCGUACGGGAGGCAGCAGUGAGGAAUAUUGCGCAAUGGGGGCAACCCUGACGCAGCAACGCCGCGUGAGUGAGGAAGGUUUUCGGACCGUAAAGCUCUGUCGAGCGGGAAGAAAUGCAUGGUGGCUAAUAUCCAUCAUGCUUGACGGUACCGCUAAAGGAAGCACCGGCUAACUCCGUG
rnacentral:rRNA from 1 species